rnacentral:rRNA from 1 species
AUUGAACGCUGGCGGCAUGCCUUACACAUGCAAGUCGAACGGUAACGGGCCUUCGGGUGCCGACGAGUGGCGAACGGGUGAGUAAUACAUCGGAACGUGCCCGAUCGUGGGGGAUAACGAGGCGAAAGCUUUGCUAAUACCGCAUACGAUCUACGGAUGAAAGCAGGGGACCGCAAGGCCUUGCGCGGACGGAGCGGCCGAUGGCAGAUUAGGUAGUUGGUGGGAUAAAAGCUUACCAAGCCGACGAUCUGUAGCUGGUCUGAGAGGAUGAUCAGCCACACUGGGACUGAGACACGGCCCAGACUCCUACGGGAGGCAGCAGCGGGGAAUUUUGGACAAAGGGCGCAAGCCUGAUCCAGCCAUGCCGCGUGCAGGAUGAAGGCCUUCGGGUUGUAAAAUGCUUUUGUACGGAACGAAAAGCCUUCUUUUAAUACAGGAGGGUCAUGACGGUACCGUAAGAAUAAGCACCGGCUAACUACGUG